rnacentral:tmRNA from 1 species
GGGGCCGACUGGUUUUGACAGCAAGACCAAUGGUUAUGUAAGCAUGCCGAGCGCUGGGAUACAGCUCGUAAAUCUCAUAUUUCACACUUUUUAAAUGGCGAAGAUAAUUACGCUCUUGCCGCUUAAUCUGAAUUAUAGUAGGAUUUAGCCUCGUCCCUGCAAGGCAGGGAAGCGAGAUGUCCCUGGAUAGCCCUUGUUGACGGCGAUCCAUUCAGGGGCACCAUAAAAGUCAACAUAGGGGGAUUGUAGCUUCGGCAAUUCCUCAAAACUAAAGAAGCUAAGUGCGUAGUAGGCUGGUUCUGGUCAGCUGCGCAUCGAAAACCAAUCAGGACCUAAGCAUGUAGAAAGCAUGGUUAUUGCUUGUUUGGACGAGGGUUCGAAUCCCUCCGGCUCCACCU